rnacentral:rRNA from 1 species
GAACGGCAGCACGGGAGCAAUCCUGGUGGCGAGUGGCGAACGGGUGAGUAAUACAUCGGAACGUGUCCUGUAGUGGGGGAUAGCCCGGCGAAAGCCGGAUUAAUACCGCAUACGAUCUACGGAUGAAAGCGGGGGACCUUCGGGCCUCGCGCUAUAGGGGCGGCCGAUGGCGGAUUAGCUAGUUGGUGGGGUAAAGGCCUACCAAGGCGACGAUCCGUAGCUGGUCUGAGAGGACGAUCAGCCACACUGGGACUGAGACACGGCCCAGACUCCUACGGGAGGUAGCAGUGGGGAAUUUUGGACAAUGGGCGAAAGCCUGAUCCAGCAAUGCCGCGUGUGUGAAGAAGGCCUUCGGGUUGUAAAGCACUUUUGUCCGGAAAGAAAACGUUCUAGCUAAUAUCUGGAGCGGAUGACGGUACCGGAAGAAUAAGCACCGGCUAACUACGUG